GGGGGGCUCUCUAUGCUGCCACUGUGAGAAACUACCUGGGGACGGAGCCGAUUAUCUCCCGGGCUGUGGGCCGUGCUGAGGAUUGGAUUCGGACAGAGACCUUGGCAUCCUGGCUUAACGCUCCAGCCUUUGUCGCAGCCGUGGCCUUGAGGCCAGCUGAGUGGGGGGAUGAAGACGGAGACAAGGAAAUCUACUUCUUCUUUACGGAGACUUCUCGAGCCUUUGACUCAUACGAGCGCCUUAAAGUUCCUCGGGUGGCCCGUGUGUGUGCGGGGGACCUUGGGGGCCGGAAGACCCUCCAACAGAGGUGGACGACCUUUCUGAAGGCUGACCUGCUGUGUCCAGGGCCUGAAGAUGGCCGGGCCUCUAGUGUCCUGCAGGACAUGGCUAUUCUUCGACCUGAGACUGGAGUGGGGGCCCCCAUCUUUUAUGGCAUCUUUUCCUCCCAGUGGGAGGGGGCUGCCAUCUCGGCUGUCUGUGCCUUCCUACCACAAGACAUUCGGACAGUGCUGAAUGGUCCCUUCAGGGAGCUGAAAGAUGUCUGCAACAGGGGACAGCCUGUCAUGGACAGUGAUGUACCCCAGCCCAGACCUGGAGAGUGCAUCGCUAAUAACCCGAAAUUCCAGCAGUUUAACUCAUCACUCUUCCUGCCUGACCGUGUGCUCAUCUUCAUCCGGGAUCACCCCCUCAUGGACAGGCCAGUGCUUCCAGCUGAUGGCCACUCCCUGCUGAUCACUACAGAUACAGUCUAUCUCAGAGUUGUGGGCCACAGGGUGGCCAGUCUCUCAGGGAAAGAGUACGAUGUGCUCUACCUGGCGACAGAGGAUGGACACCUGCACAGAGCUGUGCGGAUUGGAGCCAAGCUCAGCGUCCUUGAGGAUCUGGCCUUAUUCCCAGAGCCACAGCCAGUUGAGAAUUUGAAAUUGUAUCAAAGCUGGCUCCUGGUUGGCUCCCAUACUGAGGUAACACAAGUGAACACAACCAACUGUGGACGUCUCCAGAGCUGCUCAGAGUGCAUCCUGGCCCAAGACCCUGUCUGUGCCUGGAGCUUCCAGCUAGAUGCCUGUGUGGCCCAUGCUGAGGAGCAUGGCGGGCUGGUCCAAGACAUAGAAUCAGCGGAUGUCUCUUCUUUGUGUCCUAAAGAGCCUGGAGAACACCCAGUAGUGUUUGAAGUUCUUGUGGCUACAGCUGUGCAUGUGGUCUUGCCAUGUUCCCCAAGCUCAGCCUGGGCAUCCUGUGUGUGGCACCAGCCCAGUGGAGUGACUGCUUUUACCCCUCGGAGGGAUGGGCUAGAGGUGGUGGUAACCCCAGGGGCCAUGGGUGCUUAUGCUUGUGAAUGUCAGGAGGGUGGGGCAGCCCGAGUGGUAGCGGCUUAUACCUUGGUAUGGGGCAGCCAAUUGGGCCCUGCAAGACGGGCCCGGACUGUGGGGACUGGACUGGCUGUCUUUUUUCUCGGGAUUCUUGCAUCAUCCCUGACUCUCUUCCUGAUUGGUCUAUGUCAGCAGCGACAGCGACAGAGGGAACUUCUGGCUAGAGACAAGGUGGGCUUGGACCCGGGGGCGCCGCCAUCUGGGACCCCAAGCCUCAACCAGGAUCCUCCCUCUCUCUCCUGAAGAUGAGCAGCUGCCUCUGGUUCUAGGGAAGAGGUGCAGUGGCUUUGGUGGCUUCCCUCCACCUUUUCUGCUUGAUCCUUGCCCGAGCCCAGCCUAUAGUCGGUUAACUGGGGCUCCUCUGGCCACAUAUGAUGAAACACCCAUCUAG